rnacentral:rRNA from 1 species
GACGAACGCUGGUGGCGUGCUUAACACAUGCAAGUCGAACGCUGAAGCUCAGCUUUUGUUGGGUGGAUGAGUGGCGAACGGGUGAGUAACACGUGAGUAACCUGCCUCCUUCUUUGGGAUAACGCCCGGAAACGGGUGCUAAUACUGGAUAUUCACUGGUCUUCGCAUGGGGGUUGGUGGAAAGGGUUUUUCUGGUGGGGGAUGGGCUCGCGGCCUAUCAGCUUGUUGGUGGGGUGAUGGCCUACCAAGGCUUUGACGGGUAGCCGGCCUGAGAGGGUGACCGGUCACAUUGGGACUGAGAUACGGCCCAGACUCCUACGGGAGGCAGCAGUGGGGAAUAUUGCACAAUGGGCGCAAGCCUGAUGCAGCGACGCCGCGUGAGGGAUGGAGGCCUUCGGGUUGUGAACCUCUUUCGCUCAUGGUCAAGCCGCAACAAUGGUUGUGGUGAGGGUAGUGGGUAAAGAAGCGCCGGCUAACUACGUG